rnacentral:rRNA from 1 species
GCCGGUGAUAAUGCGGAGGAAGGUGUGGAUGACGUCAAGUCCUCAUGGCCCUUACGGGUUGGGCUACACACGUGCCUCAAUGGCAGUGACAAUGGGUUAAUCCCCAAAAGCUGCCUUAGUUCGGAUUGGGGUCUGCAACUCGACCCCAUGAAGUCGGAAUCGCUAGUAACUGCGUAACAGCAUGACGCGGUGAAUACGUUCCCGGGCCUU